GUGGUGCCAGUAUCUUGAAUUGCUAUGGCCUUUUGUAUCUCUUUUUUCAGGAAUAGGUGCCAUUGUUAUCACUUACAGCACUACAUCAUCUACACAUUUUCAUCUUUGUGCUCGCCGUGGUCCAUGUGAUUGUCUGUGUUUCCACAAUUCUAUGUACACAAACAAAGGUGCGGCAUUACUGUUGCUUAAUUUGGCAAGAUUCGGCCUCCUAAUUUCCCAAAAUUUCUCCCGGAUAAAUACUCCAAUGUCAUACCUUUGACUUCAUGCGCUCUUCGAUACAGCAAUGGAGGCGGUGGGAGGCUGCUGAGAUCUGAAAGGACGAAUAGUACAAGCUUGAAGAUUGUAGGAGAUGAAGAUUGUUUUAUUUCACUGAGUGAAUAUAAACAAAAAUUUGAUUUCCUAUUUUGUUACCUGAAGCCAACAAUGAAACGGCGGAAACCGACCGUGUUCAAGCUGGAAUUCUAGCAAAUUAUUGGUUAGAGACACUGAAGACGCAUAUAUCGGAAUAAAUCUCGCAAUUAUUAGAAGCAUCUGAAGAUGCAAUUCACGAGCAGAGUCAAUUCCAAAACCUGAAUGUACAUCAUGCGCGAAGUUAUGUCUUUGGAGACUUCACCAGUGAUUCAGCAAUGGAAGUUGAAGAAUCCAUAACGACUUGAUCACUAGUAUUUUGUAUGAAGCCCUGUUCUGUUCAAAGUCAAUUAAUUAUUCCAGCGAUUGACUUGUUCUUGGGUACUUCUUGCAGGGUCGAAUACGUAGUUUUGGUUAUCAUUUGUGCCAUUAAUCGGAAGUAGCCAUAAAGAUUCUCAAGCUUUCUUAAGUUUGCAAAAUUUCAAGCAUCAUGUGUUUAUGACAUCUCUGUUGUAUCUUGGAACACUUGAAUCAGUGAGGCGCAGAGCAGACUGCAAGCUGAUUUUUAGCUUCUCAAAUGAUGAUUACACUAUUGUUAGAUAAAUCUAUAAGACAAGAAUGGGACUUGUAAUUGCUAACUCGACAUCGAAUCCGUGAGUUACA